CCGUCCCCAGGUGCCAGUCCCCAAGCUGCCAGGUCCUUCUGCUCUGUCCCAGCUCCUUGUGCCGCAGAGGUUCUGCAGGCAUGCUCAGAACACCAUGUGGCAUUCAGAUCACCCUGAGAUGCUGGAGAAGUGCUGGAGCACACCAAAGAUACCACUCAACGAGAAAUGUGCAAGACCAUUGGAAAGUCUUUCUGAGCCUCAGUAAGCACACAUGGCAGAAACCAGGAGAAAAACAAUUACUUGGUCUUAAAUCACUACAGCUGACAAAUGUGGGACUAUGA
rnacentral:lncRNA from 1 species